UGAAUUGAAGCCAAUCCGAUCCAGGUGAAACAGAAGUUGAUAGAUUAUUCCGGAGACGAGGUGAUAUAUAUAUCAAGCGGAAGUCUGUUUGUGUGACUCUGCCUGUAUGUUGUCAAGUUGCAAAUAGCCUGGUUUUAUCAGUUGUUGCUUGAUGAGAGACCAACCAGUUUAUGCCUGACAUUUGUGACUCUACAUUUAAUGCAGUACAAUUGAGAGCUCACGGCAUCAGGUACGCUUUAGAUACAAAAACUCUCGCUCAGUUUAGUUCCCGUGUAGUGUUAAAUUCUGGUGAACUAUAUUCGAUACAAAUGGUAAGCUAAAGCAGAUUUAAAAAGAUGAUAAAUUUGCUCAAACCACGUUCAGUUUCAAAACUGACCUGAAGCUGCACUCAAUGGCCCUAUGGAUCCUCUCUUUUAAAGAAUCUACAUGUUUGUUGCCAUUUUGUGGGACUUAUAGGAAGAAGACAUGAGGUGGAGUACUUCUUAAGAUAAUCCUACUCAAUGCAUACUAGAAAUUGCUAUUUGAAAAAGUUGUUCUGAAGUGACUCUUCAGGGCUUGGGAGGUUGUCAAUUUUUGUGUACAUGUUACUGUUGUAUACUACUAAUACAAAUUUUGUAGUCUACAAGGGGUCUGCGGUACUUUCAUAGUAGCGAAUAAAGAAUGAAUCAAAUGGGAUUGAUUUACUACUAUACCUAAAUUAGUUACAUAUAUUGCAUCUUGUGGAUUAAUUCUUGGUCAACUAGGUGUAGUUGAUUUUUCAGUUUUGACACACACUUAUCUAUUUACAUAAUGUGGUCAUAUGUUUCAUUUUGUGGCUAACCACGUGAAAGUAUGUAGGUUCAAACCGAUGUUGUGGCCAACACAGAUAGUAGCAGUCAAGACAAUGACUUUUUGGACGAAGAAGAGUG
rnacentral:lncRNA from 1 species